UGUACAUAGUACAUCGUCAGUCUUAACAUUGUAAUUAUACAUACAUCAACAGGUCAUGUGAAUAGGAAGUGAUCAUACAGUUAUAAGUAAUAUAGAUUCAAUCUAACGUAAUGCAUGCAAGUAGUUUGAGGAAAAAGAAAGUAGCAUUUUUACAAACUAUUUAUGUGGCAGGGCGGCUAUCUAGUUAUCAACAUUUACGGAAAAAGAAAAUAGCAUUUUUACAAACUAUUUAUGUGGCAGGGUGGCUAUCUAGUUAUCAACAUUUACGGAAAUAUACUUAAUUGGAAUUUGAUUAUCUUGCGCAUAAAAUGUGUAUUAUUAUGUUAAUAAUAAUAGUAAUAGUAAGACAUAACACACAUAUUUUGCAUAUAUUACAAAGUUUCCAUAAGGCAGCAACUUAAACAAUCAGACACGUCUGUUUAACAUCUGUAUGUAAAAAAAGAAAGAAAAAAGUAAUACUUUUUUGAAUUGAACAAAUGUUGGGCAUGUAACAUAUAACAUAUGAUUCAGUAUGCUCACAGUAAUACUAUUAAGUAACGAAUAGCUAUCUGAUUGAUAGGAUUACAUACAUACACUAAAAACAAACAAUCACAUAAACAAUCAAAGAAGCGAACCCGCGGAACAGAAAAAAAAUCAGCUGGUCGUAUUAUGUCACGGUGCCUAUACCACGUGACUUUUUAAGAUCUGUGUGGGGAGUAAAAUGUCAACAAAAGCGCGACGAAGGUAUGGUUAAAUGCUCCGACUGCGGAAAAAUGUUGAAGACCAGAGCUGGAUUAAUGCGCCACAUUAUUUGACACGCUAACUCUGGAAACUAUAACUGCUGUGGGAAAGCAUUUCAGGAUGCCUACAAUCUUAGAGGGCUUCAAAGAACGAAGGACCCAAAUGUCACAUGUGUGUACAGUGCAGCAGGAGCUUUGCAGACAAGUACCUACUAGUGGCUCAAAGUGACAUGCAUCAAUGUGAAGAAACUUUAAACGACAAAAAAUGUUACAUUUUCGACAUUAUUUUCUAUUUUAUUGUUAUUUAAAGUCGAAUGUAACCGUAAUGAUUUACUGAAAACAAAAUAAUGAUUAUUUACUGAAAACAAAAUAAUGAU